UACAGGGGGGGGCAAGCGUUGUUCGGAAUUACUGGGCGUAAAGGGUUCGUAGGUGGCCACUUAAGUCAGACGUGAAAUCCCUCAGCUUAACUGGGGAACUGCGUCUGAUACUGAGUGGCUUGAGUGCAGGAGAGGAAUGCGGAAUUCCAGGUGUAGCGGUGAAAUGCGUAGAUAUCUGGAGGAACACCGGUGGCGAAGGCGGCAUUCUGGACUGUAACUGACACUGAGGAACGAAAGCCAGGGGAGCAAACGGGG
rnacentral:rRNA from 1 species